rnacentral:misc_RNA from 1 species
AAGUCGUAACAAGGUUUCCGUAGGUGAACCUGCGGAAGGAUCAUUAACACGUAUCCACGUAUCAACCAAUGAGAACCUGUUUUCCCGUCUCCCUGUGCAAAGAAUGAAUUGGAACCAGUUUGAGGGAGUGAUGGGACCGAAAGGUCGGCCUUCCUGGUAUACUUAUGUAAAUAGAAAUGUUUGCAUAGACAAUUGUAUUUUUGUUACAGGCUAUUUCUUAUCGCUUUGAUCCCCAUCAUGAUCGUGGCGGUAGGGAAACUUCACCUUAUUUACCUUUUUUGCUAGUUGACUUUUUAUAUGUGUUGUCUUGCGAAAGCAUGGUGGCACACGUUUAUUAAUUGAACGUUAAAAAAUACAACUCUUAGCAAUGGAUAUCUUGGUUCUC